UGAGGAUGAGAAGCUUCGACCUAGAAGUUUGAACAUUGAUGGUCAUACUGUUGCAAAAGAUGAGAUGAGGGAUUAUUCAGAUGAAAUGGAAGACAAGAAAGAAGAGCAUCCACAUUCUUGAAGCAUGGAACUGUCUUCUUUCAUUGCCUCAGUAUCUUCUAGAUAUCUUCUAGACACACAGAUAUCCCAGCAACAACAGAGCGCAUGGUUCCAAGACAUAAAAUUGUUCUUAUAUAAUUAUGAGGAAGCAUAGAGUAGGUCUCACAAACAGUAAGCUGCCUUUGCUGCUACCAUAUUGUUUGAAAUUGUAUUGUCAUAGGAUCAGAGACUUAGAUGUGAUAUGUGAACAUUAUAUAAA
rnacentral:misc_RNA from 1 species